rnacentral:rRNA from 1 species
GACGAACGCUGGCGGCGUGCCUAAUACAUGCAAGUAGAACGAGUUGCGAACGGGUGAGUAACGCGUGGUAACCUGCCUCAUCGCGGGGGAUAACUAUUGGAAACGAUAGCUAAUACCGCAUACCAUCAGAUGUGCCCAGAUGGGAUUAGCUAGUUGGUGUGGUAACUGCUCACCAAGGCGACGAUCCCGAGCUGGUCUGAGCGGAUGACAAGCCAGUCUGGAAAUGAGACACGGUCCAGACACCUACGGGAGGCAGCAGUGGGGAAUAUGGCACAAUGGGCACAAGCCUGAUGCAGCCAUGCCGCGUAUAUGAAGAGGUCCUUCGGGUUGUAAAGUACUUUCAGCGGGGAGGCGUUACUCGGAGAAGAAGCACCGGCUAACUCCGUGCCAGCAGCCGCGGUAAUUC